GCUGGGUCUUGUAGGAUGGGACUUAUCCAAUCAUCAAGUAGAUAACUAUGUGCACAAAUUAAGAAAGAUUAUUAGAAGAUGCUGAGAAGAGUUAUUCAUCAGGGAACCAAUCUAUAAUGGUUUCAUUGUUGUGUUCUAACAAGAUCCUUGAGAUAUGAUCUGCUACUACAUUUUGAGAACCCUUUUUAUUUAAAAUUUGCAGAUCAAAUUCUAGCAACAAAAGGACCCAUCUAAUCAACCUCGGCUUUGUAU
rnacentral:lncRNA from 1 species